GGGAUUUGCUGCAAUUGCUUACAUCGGAGUAGACUAUCUCCGGUUUAUUUCUCCGGCAUGGCAUGACCGGUUACAGCCGACGCUAUGGACCAUAUUGGCGAUCGCUGCUAUUAUUCGGGUUCCAUUUUACAAACACUGGUCAUCAGAGCUCCGUUCAGCUAUACCAUUUAUUUUCGCUAUGCUUUUUUUGCUCUCUGCUCUUCUUUUUGAAGCCAUUUCUGUCCGCUCUGUCACUGCCGUUCUUGGUCUUGAAUGGAACAGUGAUGCAUCACCUCUUCCUGAUGUUGGUCAGUGGUUGGUGCUGUCAUUGAAUGAGAAACUACCUCAAACAGUGGUUAAUAUAUUGAGA
rnacentral:misc_RNA from 1 species